GAGCGGGCAUCGCAAGAUGUCAGCGGCAGACGGGAGAGUAACACGUGGGAACAUGCCCUUCGGUUCGGAACAACCCAGGGAAACUUGGGCUAAUACCGGAUACGUCCGUAAGGAGAAAGAUUUAUCGCUGAAGGAUCGGCCCGCGUCUGAUUAGCUAGUUGGUGAGGUAACGGCUCACCAAGGCGACGAUCAGUAGCUGGUCUGAGAGGAUGAUCAGCCUCACUGGGACUGAGACACGGCCCAGACUCCUACGGGAGGCAGCAGUGGGGAAUAUUGGACAAUGGGCGCAAGCCUGAUCCAGCCAUGCCGCGUGGAUGAUGAAGGCCCUAGGGUUGUAAAGUCCUUUCGGCGGGGAAGAUAAUGACGGUACCCGCAGAAGAAGCCCCGGCUAACUUCGUG
rnacentral:rRNA from 1 species